GAAGACGAAGGGCUCCUCGUUGUAGGCUGGGUUCAGUCCGUUGUUCAUCACCAUACGUGUGCGGAACUCCUUCCGAAUGGUGUCUGUUGGCAGGCCAUACAUGUCGACCUCAACGAUUUAACAGUUUUUCUGCAAGAAUGAUGACCUGACCUGUACGCUGCACGUUGCAGCAAUGACCCCAUCGACUGGUGUCUCUGAGAAAGGGUCAAACAUCCUGUCUGACCGCCGCAUGAAAUCAGGCUUCAGCAGCUCUGCAUCACGGGAGCUCCGCCUCUUGUGUGACCCCCCCUCCAGGCUCACACAUGCUCCGCUCCCAGCAGGCCAUAUGGAUGUCUGUGCACAUGGCCUUGCCAUGAGUGAUAAUGGGCUCCUGGUCCUCUCCUUUCCCAUCCCAGCAGUCCAGCUCCACACAUCUGACAGGAUGAAAAACACAGAAACUGUACAUGAAGGAU